rnacentral:rRNA from 1 species
CCUACGGGCGGCAGCAGUGGGGAAUAUUGCACAAUGGGGGAAACCCUGAUGCAGCGACGCCGCGUGAGUGAAGAAGUAUCUCGGUACGUAAAGCUCUAUCAGCAGGGAAGAAAAUGACGGUACCUGACUAAGAAGCCCCGGCUAACUACGUGCCAGCAGCCGCGGUAAUACGUAGGGGGCAAGCGUUAUCCGGAUUUACUGGGUGUAAAGGGAGCGUAGACGGUGAUGCAAGUCAGAAGUGAAAGCCCGGGGCUCAACUCCGGGACUGCUUUUGAAACUGUGUAACUGGAGUGCAGGAGAGGUAAGCGGAAUUCCUGGUGUAGCGGUGAAAUGCGUAGAUAUCAGGAGGAACACCAGUGGCGAAGGCGGCUUACUGGACUGUAACUGACGUUGAGGCUCGAAAGCGUGGGGAGCAAACAGGAUUAGAUACCCGAGUAGUC